AACACGUAGGUAACCUGCCCAUGUGCCCGGGAUAACUUCUGGAAACGGAUGCUAAAACCGGAUAGGUAGCAGACAAGCAUUUGACUGCUAUUAAAGUGGCUAAGGCCAUGAACAUGGAUGGACCUGCGGUGCAUUAGCUAGUUGGUGAGGUAACGGCCCACCAAGGCGACGAUGCAUAGCCGGCCUGAGAGGGCGGACGGCCACAUUGGGACUGAGACACGGCCCAAACUCCUACGGGAGGGCAGCAUG
rnacentral:rRNA from 1 species